UACGUAGGGACCAAGCGUUGUCCGGAAUCAUUGGGCGUAAAGCGCGCGUAGGUGGCCAUUUAAGUCCGCUGUGAAAGUCAGAGGCUCAACCUUUGAAAGCCGGUGGAUACUGGAUGGCUAGAGUACGGAAGAGGCGAGUGGAAUUCCUGGUGUAGCGGUGGAAUGCGCAGAUAUCAGGAAGAACACCUAUGGCGAAGGCAGCUCUCUGGGACGGUACUGACGCUGAGACGCGAAAGCGUGGGGAGCGAACAGG
rnacentral:rRNA from 1 species